GAUGAACGCUGGCGGCGUGCCUAAUACAUGCAAGUCGAGCGAACAGACGAGGAGCUUGCUCCUCUGACGUUAGCGGCGGACGGGUGAGUAACACGUGGAUAACCUACCUAUAAGACUGGGAUAACUUCGGGAAACCGGAGCUAAUACCGGAUAAUAUAUUGAACCGCAUGGUUCAAUAGUGAAAGACGGUUUUGCUGUCACUUAUAGAUGGAUCCGCGCCGCAUUAGCUAGUUGGUAAGGUAACGGCUUACCAAGGCAACGAUGCGUAGCCGACCUGAGAGGGUGAUCGGCCACACUGGAACUGAGACACGGUCCAGACUCCUACGGGAGGCAGCAGUAGGGAAUCUUCCGCAAUGGGCGAAAGCCUGACGGAGCAACGCCGCGUGAGUGAUGAAGGUCUUCGGAUCGUAAAACUCUGUUAUUAGGGAAGAACAAAUGUGUAAGUAACUAUGCACGUCUUGACGGUACCUAAUCAGAAAGCACGGCUAACUACGUG
rnacentral:rRNA from 1 species